rnacentral:rRNA from 1 species
CAGUAGCCACGGGAAUACGAAGGGGGCUAGCGUUGUUCGGAAUUACUGGGCGUAAAGCGCACGUAGGCGGACAUUUAAGUCAGGGGUGAAAUCCCGGGGCUCAACCCCGGAACUGCCUUUGAUACUGGGUGUCUAGAGUAUGGAAGAGGUGAGUGGAAUUCCGAGUGUAGAGGUGAAAUUCGUAGAUAUUCGGAGGAACACCAGUGGCGAAGGCGGCUCACUGGUCCAUUACUGACGCUGAGGUGCGAAAGCGUGGGGAGCAAACAGGAUUAGAUACCCCCGUAGUCCCUGUCUCUUAUAA